AGCCUUCUAUAUUCGUGUCGAGAUUUCGCCACACACCAGACCACAAGGCUGAUGAGACUCCAAAGAUAAGUGAAAAA
rnacentral:pre_miRNA from 1 species